UCUUUUUACGUGGUUGACCU
rnacentral:rRNA from 1 species